CAGAAACUCAGUAUGGCUAUAAUGUGCAUAGUGGAUCACAGCAGACAAAACUAGGAGAGAGAGUUGAAUUGGAGGUCACUCGAGGAAAGAUAUUGGUAGACUGGACCAAGGUAAAGAAGUCUUUUAAUCCCAUACCUUCACAGCUUUAAAGAGUAUUUUCCAUAUAUUCUAUCAUUCAACAAAUAUUCCCUGGGUUCUUUCUACUGGGCCCUGAGUGGAUAAAAACCUUAGGGGAACUUAUGGAACAGCAGAGAAAAGCAUACAAUAAAAACAACAAAGGAACACCAUCCUAGAUGCACGAUGUGUGGCUCUCCAGAUAAAAUAGUAAGACAAGGCCUCCGGUGGAGGGUGACAUUGGAACUGAAGUCCACAGGAUACCAAGCACUGGGAGAUACCUGGGGAGGAGCACUGCAGCUAAAAAGGGACAUCGGGAAAAGGAGGGAAAGAAGUGGGCAUCUUACAGGAGGCAAAAUAAGACCCCGUAAUGGCCGGAGCUUCACAAAUGAAGAAGAUAGCCUCAAGAGGUCACCAGGACCUAUUUAACAAGAAUUUAGGAAGCCACAGAAGGAGCUGAAUUUGUAUUUUAUGCAAAGUGUCAUUGAAAGCUGGCAAAAGAAAGUAAUAGAAUGAUGUAAUCCAAAGCCAGCAUGGUAGCUCGCUCUUGCCUGCUGUCCUAGCCCUCUCCUCUCUGCCCUUGACUGGCUAAUUUCUCUUCAUGCUCCAGGAUGGGGAAAGGCACCUGUUUCUGAGCUACCCUCUGCUACACAUUAGGUUAAAUACUCUUUUCUGUGCCCACAGCAACCUGAAUUUGUUUCUACAAUGUGCAGCUUUUCAUACUUGAAUGUUUUUGCUUGUGAAAUUUCCUGUUUUGUGUCUAGACUGAGUUUCAAGGCAGAAGGGGCCACAAGCCGGCUUCUGGCUGCUUCAGCGGCAGUGCAAACCCAUGACCAGGGGAAGGAGAAAAGCAAACCUGUUUACCUUUGGCUACGUCCACGAAGUCUCUCUUCGUACAGGAAAUAAACUGAUCUGCGAUUGCCUUCUGAAUUUCUUCCAUGGAAGCAGGAAUUUCCGAAGGGAGGCCACUUCUUGGUGUCAUCAUUGUGUACCCUUUAGGCAGUGUCCACUGAAAUCUCUGUCAUUGCAAAUAAAGUUUUCAGGAGAAUCUAUACAAGUCACCUAAUUAGGACAGUGGGAUUGAAAACUCCAAAGACUUGUGCUCCCAACCAGACUAUUGCUAAAGACAAGAUCAGAAGAGGAAAGAAAUCAGGCUGUUCACACGUUCCAACCAGCAGAGACAGUGUCUACUUGGGAGCCCACAGGCGAAGGUCUCAGCGACAUUAUGAAGGAAAUGGAAACCACUGGCAGAGACGUGCCCCCGCCCUCCUAAUCCCCACCAAGCCGGCCCACCUUUCCUGGCAUCUGCUGUGACAAGAUCUGACCUAGAUCUGACCUCUUCAGUCUGCUCCAGACAUCACUCCAGCAAUCUCACUCGUCUUGUGACUUUAAUCUCUCUUUCUGCUGAGCUACUGCAAUCAGCAAAUUAUUUCUCCUGUGUUGUAGAGAAAACCCCACUUCUGCUUCCUUCUCUGGUUACUAAGAUGCUUCUUAGUUUCCCUUCACCCUGAACUCAGUACAUAUGUUCACUGCUCCAAAUUUAUCUUGCAAGCACCUUCUAAUAUUCAGGUUCUCUUCCAGCCCCGCUUUCCCCUUGUAACUUAUUUGCUAAAGCAACCAAAUGUGAACACAAUGCGUGUGUUGAGGAAGCCCUUUGACAUGUAGAAGUUUCUCAGUCAGGCUUCCGUUGAUUGCAUGCUCUUCGGACUAUUGAACACGUCUCUGCUCACAGGACUCAGAUUUAGGGCAGAUCUCUUAGAUAAACUGUAAGUGGUGUUUGGCAAGACCACAGGAGGCAGAAGUACGAUGAAAAUAGUAACGAUGCCAUUAUUAUUGUUUUUCUGUUUGAUGGUAGCAGUUGCUGAGGUUUGACGCCCAGAUUAAUGGGGUCCUAGCACUCCUUGGCUGACCGCACAGAGGACAGUCUACUAUACCAUUUCUGACUGAGUACCUCAAAUAGCAUACAGAGGAAGGAAAACUGUAACCCAUAAGUUAUGUGAUUAAAAUAUGUAUUAUGUCAUAAGUAAUGAAAAUUUAUUGGAGUAAAAGAUACAUUAUCAUAAAUCCUCCUCAAAAUUCACCCACAUGCUUCAAAUAUAUUUGUCUCAUAACUUUUGCUACUUUCUCAAACAGUUCUGAAAGUCUUCUUUUGUGUCUUAACCAGAUGUGAUAAAAAAAAAUGAAAGCUGUUACUUUCGUGAUUGAGUAACACUGUGUGACUGUACUGUAGAACAUUUAUCUUCUGUUGGUGGAUACUUGGGUUGACUCCACCCUUUGGCUAUCGUGAAUGCUGUUACUAUCUAAUCUAAUAAAAAUCUAAUAAGAAGGCAGGGUUGUGCAGACAUUUUGGUGGAUCCUUAUCCACUUCAUUCACCAGAUCUGGCCUCAUGCAACUUUUGGUUCUUUCCCAAAAUUGCAAAGUAAAGGUUUUGAAUUGAUUCAGGAUAGUAAGGCAGCCACAACAGCUUAGUUGAAGACAUUCAUGAAAGAAGGUUUCCAGAGCUGCUUCAGAAAAUGGUGGGAGCAAUGGGCUAGGUGUGUGCAAGGCACUGGAGAUAUUUUGAGCAUGAGGAAUGGCAAUACAUCUUUUAUUAUGAUACAUUUUAAAAAUAUAAAAUUUAUAGAUCGUACUGUGUACAUAUAUGGUAUGAAGUUUUUGACAUAAUUUUUAUUUUAAGGAGAAUAUUUAAGAGGCAUAUAGAUUUUAGUGAAUGGGCGCCAUGGGAACCAGUGGGCUGUGUGUAAUUGUGCUGAUGAUUCCUAAGUCUACAAAUAGCCCCUCUCCCACAUGAGCUCCAGACCUGCAUGUUCAUGUGACUUGUAGACACGUCAUACCAACAUGCCAUCACCUGAACUCAUGUUGUCUCUGCCCUUUCCCGCCAGACCUGAUCCGCUGCCAUGUUCCGUCUUGGUAAGCAGCAUGGGCAUACACCCAGCCUCUCAGAUGUGAGCACCAUGAUUCCCUCUUCUACAUCUUUUCAUCUUUAAUUAUAUAUUUUUCAUUCUUCUACAUGGUCCUCUAUUGAAUACGCUGAGGUGGCUCCAUCUCAGGUGGCAGUCCAGUAAAUGAAACCAUUUACGACAGCCAGUCCCACACCACUCUUCUUGAUGGGAGAACACAAAUACUAACAAUGUCCUCCAUAGCAGCACCAUUCACAAUAGCCAAAGGGUGGAGUCAACCCAAGUAUCCACCAACAGAAGAUAAAUGUUCUACAGUACAGUCACACAGUGUUACUCAAUCAUGAAAGGUACUGAUCCUUGCUACCUCUUUGGGAACCUCAAAAACAUUAAGUAAAAAAUCCCUACACAAAAGUUACCUUCUUGAGUGAUUUCCACAUAGAAAAUAUCCAUAUAGAAAGCAGGUCAUUGGUUACCCAGAGCCGUGGGAUGGGGUGGGAAUAAUGGCUUAAUGGUUAUUGUGUUUCUUGGUGGGAUAAUUAAAGUAUUUUGCAACAAGAUAGAGAUGGUGAUUCCACAAUAUAAUAUACCAAAUGGCAGUGGACACUUCACAUUCAAAGGGUUAAUUUUACAUUAUAUGCAUUUCAUUUCAAUUAUAAAAAAACUUAAAAAAGAACUAGGGGAUAGAAAAAUGGUUAGAAAGAAAUGGAAGACAUUAGGUAGGAAACAGAAGAUGAGUGCCCUUGUAUCUCCUGACGAUACAAGAUGCAGAGAUCUUGCAGCAUGUUAAACGUCAUUCGUAUUAACCCAUUCUUACGGGCUGCUGGUACAGCAUUAAAUCCUACAGACAUACAGAUAUUAUCUUACUUGAGUGGGAUGCGAUUCGUAGAUCUUGAUUCUUCUUGAAGCCUCAUUUUCUAUUGGCUUUUCUUUAGAAUAUGGUUUCCAAACAUAUUCAUCAUUGUAAUGAGUCUGAUUCAGAAUAGGAUCUCCAAGUGAGUAUGUGUAUCCUAAUCUGUUGGUGCUCUUCUGACUGAAAAUAAAAAAUAAAUUUGAAGAAAGUUUUAGGUGUCAGAUCUCACAAUGGUACAUAUACCAAAAUGUUUUUAUUUGCUAGAUUUUUAAAAAAAAUUGUCUGGCUUAAGGUGAUGCCAGAUAUAAUUAUGUGUAUAGACUUCCUUGAUAAGAAAAAUUUUUAUAAUUUAAGAUGACUCUUAAUAAAAACAUGGGGCCUUAAAAUAGUUUAGAAGAAUGACAGUAAAAGUUUAUUUUAUUAAUUUUUUUAAAGAGCUGGAUAUUCUGAUCCAUAGAAUAUUCUAACAAUCAAAAAGUUGGGGAGAAGAGUCUCUUUUUCUGUCUUGCUACUAUUUUCUUUUUGAUUAGUAUAUAUUUAUGAUACCUAAUAAUUACCUUCAUCUUGGAACUUGCUCUUUUUAGACAUAUUACAGUUGAUAAAUGGAAGAAAAAACACUAAUUAAAAUAUGAGUAGUUUGUCUGCCCCUAAUGAAAUGAUUCAUUUAGGCAAAUAAAGAAGUUACAGUUCAAAAGGAGGGGCCACUGGGUAGUAUGUGACUUUGGGGGGGCAUAGGUAAUACCACUUAUUAAGUAUUUCUUCAGAGUAUCAAAUUUGAGUCAGAUGGAAUCUUCAGAAUUCAAGUUGCAGAAACUACAUGAAAGGAGGAAUUUUAAAAUGACACCAUGGGGAUAAAAUUGAAAAAUCUAGAAUGAUGGUUCUUUUUGUUCCACAAAGAAAUGGUCAGAAAGAAAGAUGGGGAUGGAAAUCUAUAAAUUAAAUGAGGAGGGAGACAUAAUAACCAAAUGCAAUGCGUGCACCUUAUUUAGAUUCCAUUUGAAAAUAUGUUUUUAUUAUGAGAAAAUUUGGAAAAUUGGAUGGCUGAUUGGCUAUUUGAUAUUAAGAACCUAUUUUUUAAAAAAAGAAAAGUAAUGGUAUCUUUACUUAUUUUUAAACUAUCCUAUCUUGCUACAUGCAAACUAUUUAGAAUUGAAACGAUAAAUGUCUGGGAUUUGAUUCGACAUAUUCCAGUGGGAAGGAUGGGUGGCAGUUAAAGAAAAAAAACACAUCUAUGUGUUGAUUGUCUAGCAGGAUUAUAGCCAGGGAUUCACUGAUUAUUCCUUUGUGUAUAUUUAAAAUACUUCACAGUGACUUUUUAAUGCAAAGGGCUGGGUAGUUUCAGACUGUGUUCAAAAGAACAAAUAUCUGGGAGGUCAGACAUAGCUGGGCAAUUGACUAUUUCACUGUUAUUCACAUGUAAACUUUUUCAGAGGAAGACAGCAAAAAUAGCUUUGAAUAAAUUUUCACAUCUCAAUUUCUCAAUUGCUCCUUCCUGAACCAUAUUUGCUGAGAGCAAGCCUGUACAUUUAUUCAGAUCCUUCCUUUCUUUCCCACAGUCUUCUCAGGACUUCCCUUCCCCAUGUUACCAUGUCUGGGGACCAGGCAAUGAAAGUCAAGGGGGCGCUCGACCACCGAGUGGUAGUCCCCAGCAGUUUCUCCCUGAGUAUUUAGUUGCCAAAGCUGGACUUGAGCUUGCAAUCCCGCUGCUUCUGCCUCCCCUGUGACUGGGGUUACAGGUGUGUGCCACCAUGGCCAGCUAUCACAGGGUCUUCUCAUGGUUCAUUGCGGUGGGGCAUUCACCUCAAACCCCAGUAAGGGAGCCCAAGAAAAGAAACUUGAUCAAAGCAAGCUCGGGGAAACCUUGUCAUUCAAGCUCCACGCAUCGCCCAGGGAUCUGUUUCUCCAUGUCUGGGUGUUUCUGCAAAGUGAGAGAUGGUGGCUGGGGUCAUGUCAGGCUUUCCACCCCCUAACAAUUACCGAAUGUCCAUCUGUCUUUAGGAAGAGGCCUCUCAGAUGAUGGCAGAGAAUAUGGUGUGCUUAAAAUGGCCCUUUCUGUAUAUAUUUUCAGCUUUAAAAAAAUCCUUAAGCAGUGUCUUCAGCUGAAUAGAAAUGUGGGUGUGGGGAGAGGGAAGCAGUAAGAGCUUUAAAUAUAACCAGAAUCGUUUCUGGGACACCGCACUUGGCAAGGUUGUUGGAUAAAACUAGUAGAUAAAAAUCUGUGGGGCUUUUUUCAGAUUCUGUAUUCAUCAUUAUUAAAGCAUGUUUUAAUCCUACUAUGAAAUAUUUAUUCCAAUACAGCCAAUUCUGAUUAUCAACAAAAUAUCUGACAUAAAAAAGCAGAAGUAGCUUGCAAUUUCAUUAUGCUGUAACUUUAUCUUUUAUUAAAUGAUGGAUGUCUUAGGAAAUUAUUUCUUUUUUAUAUGUGAUUGUUGUUUAAUUAUUUCCAAAAGUUAAGUGCAAGAGUUCUAUUGACAUGCAACACUAUCUAGGGGCAAAUCAUAUUUUUAUCAUACUUGCUUUACAGAUAAUUUAGACAUCUCAUAGCAUUAUUUUUAUAUGUACGUAAUUGUAUCAGACUUGAAUCUUUUUACACUUCCCUUCUGUACUUCUAAUAAUCUUCCAUAAAAUAAUCUAAAUUUCAGUAGCUUUUAUAAUAUUCUUUACAAUAUAUACACUGACAUUUCUUUGAACUGAUAGUAUAGAUAUUUUAUUUUGAUAGGAUAUUAAACUUAUGAGAUACGAUCAAAAUAUACCAUGAGUAUUUAAAUUUAAAAACUUCAUCACACUAAACCGCACAUUGUCAUUAAUUUCCCCUCAAAAGAUGCCUUUCUUCAAACACACUUAUCCUCCAUUCUUGCCACUUUCUGAAGCAGCUCUGAAAGUCCUCUUUAGUGAGGUUUUUUUAUGACGUGUGAUUAAAAAAAAAUACAGCAAGUGCUGCUGCCUACCGCCCCCGGCAGAAAGCCAGGCUUGUAUACUCGCUAAGUGUCCUUCCUGAUUCACUGGAUCUGGCACUGUGUGACUUUUACCUCUUCCCCAAAGUCAAAGCGACCAUAAAAGACUAAGUUCUGUGCAACUGAAGACAUUAAAAAGGACUUCCAGCACUGCUUGAGAAAGCCACAAGAGCGAUGAGAUAAGGGAGCUCAAAGUACAGGGGGGUGUUUUGAGGGACACUGAGGACAAUGUGUGUUUUGUUGUAAUGAAUUUUAGAAAUUUUUAAACUUUCACUGUGGUUUUUGUCCACACUGUGUGUGCUCACUGGUUUGGCGGCAAGCACUCAUUUUACCAACUAGACAAGCGUGACAAGGAAACCGUAUGAGCUAACUUCAUUUCUAAGAUUUUGAUAGAAAUAUAUUUAAAAUAUGUGAUGAUAAAAACACUUUAUCUAAAAAUAUUAUAUCCAAAACCUUUUAUUAAAAUUAAUGUUACCACUUCCCAAGUCCUUUCUGAGUGUGUAAUAUUAAAGUUGCCUCCAUGUGAACGUGUAAUAGGUGUAAUUUAAUAGUCAUUUGUUAUUUGUUAAAAUGUGCCUUUUUAAUAUUUCUCAGAAACUGACGUAGGAAAUAAUUCAGGAAAUGGAUGAUAAAUCAUCUCAUUUCUUGCUCUCAGUAAAACUGAAAGAGUGCCCUGCCGAGCAGGCAGCAGAUCAGUCAUUAAUAAUUACCUUGUAAUUUCUGUCAUAAAAUUAUGAAAGAGUUCGGAGUAUGAAGGUUCAAAGAUUUAGCUCAGCAGCACAGUGCCUGCCUGGCAAGUGUGAGGUCUGGGUUCAAUUCCUCAUUCCAAAAAAACGAGAUCAGAGUAUCAAAUGAUAUUGCUACUCCAAAACUCCAUUCACAUCUCUCUCUCUCUCUCUCUCUCUCUGUGUGUGUGUAUAAACUUAACAUUAGCAUCUAUAAAGUAGGAAAAAAGCAAACAGAUCGAUUUACACAUGACUAAAAAUAGUAACAUUCUAAAAAUAGUAACAUUCAACACUGGACCUGUGAACUAAUUGAAAACAAAACAGCUCCACUUUAUCUCAUAAAGACAUAGUUCCCCAAACUACUUUUUACUAAACAAGUAUGAACAUUGGUAAUAUAUUUAUUCUUUGAGCAACUGUGUACUAAAAAUAGUUAUGAUAGCCCAAUAAUUAAGGUCACAUAAUGUAUAAAAAUUAAACAAAAAUACUUGCAAAAAAGUAUAAUUGAGUGGACAACAAGUUGCUUUCAAAUAUAAAAUAUAUGAUAAUGGGAAAAUUCUACUGAGGAAAUAGUGUGUGAAAGAGUUCAAGAAGAAAAAGUAUUAUAGAGUGCACUUGAGUAUUUUUAAAAAAGCAUUAUAUGAGUAUUAAUUUGCUAACACAUUAGAUCAUCCAUUGUUUACAUAAUUUUUAAAUUUAAAAAUUUUUCCUUUUAACAUGUCAAUAUUUAGUUUGGGCUGAAUGUUUUAUCUUUUGCAGCUAUUUAACUAUUCAUAGAAAACUUUUACGAGAACUUGGAAAAUGCAUGAUAUUGAAGGCCACCGUCUUAGACUUUCCAAGUUACUCUGUGUUUUUUCGUUUUCCUCUCAAAUUUUCCAUUGCAUACAACUGCCACUGCCUGUGAAUGCCACAUUUUCAUUACAGCCCAAUGAUGACACCUCCAGUUUAGAAACUACAGCUCAGCAGAUAGCUGGAACACAGAAACCAGGAGUCUUAAUAUUGUGGAGUUUUGAAAAUCUAUCAUAUUAGUUAUAGUGGGAGUCAAUGAAUGAAAAUUACUGAAUAACUUAGAGAUAAUCAGGGUACUAGUGUUCUGAUUAUUCCUCAGGAGACCCUCCUCAAGCGGGGAUCACUCUCAUUUCUAAUAACAAUAAAACUGCAGAUGGCUUGUUGCUUGCUUGCCUACUGGAGCAGAAAUAACAGGGUAGCCAAGGACUUACCAGUCACCCAUUUGCCUGCUCACUCACAUGAGCAUUUUUUUUUUUUUUUUGGUACCUAGGAUGGAGCUCAUGACCUCACACUUGCCAGGCAGACGCUUGUGCCACUGAGCUAAAUGCCUGGCCCACUGACAUGAACUUUUAAGAAAAGAUUGUCUUUAUGGGAAACAGUUCAGACUAAACCAGGCUACACGCUGUCCAGGCUGACUGCAUGAAUUUCAGUGAAACAGUGAAAGAAACCAGACUCUACUGACCUCCUCCUGAACUCAGAAAGGCAACUGAUGGACAGAAAUACUCUAUGCCUUCUGCUGCAAACUGGCAAAGCUGCAAGCCAACAUCCUGCAACUACAGGAGUGGAGAUAAGCAUAAGGAAUUGUGGUUUCUCCAGCCUUCAAAUCCAGUUUUAGUGAUGAAUGACACAGAAAGUAUGCACUCAUCCACUCAUUUAUCCAAUAAUCACUGCCUGUUGCUGCAUAUUAGGGUGGGAAUUCAGCCCAGUUAUGAUGCUGGGAUCGCACAGUCCUAUUAACAUAGCCACCGAGUCUAUGGUAAACCACAAUAUUCAGUAACCUUAUGGAAGACCAGUGUGGUGAUCUUUUUGGUUUUCUUGGUGGUCCAGCUGCUGUUUGAGAGGAGAAACUUUCUUAAAACUUGGAAGGGAAUUGCAUGUGCAGUUCCCUAGCAGUGUAUUUUAAAAGCUUUCCCCAGUUGCUCUAUUUGAUUUCUGUUCUGAAUAAUAAAAGACAAGUGAACAAACUGAA